ACUGUUGCUGUCGAUGAUUACAUUUUGCUGUCUGAAUCUUGUGAAGAUUCCUCAGCAUUCGUCACUACCACUGAGACAGUAACGGC